ensembl:lncRNA
UUUAUGAUAGCUGUAAAAGUGUCAGGAUGAUGUAUGGUAGCUGUAGAGGUGUCAAGGUGAUCUAUGAUAGCUGUAUAGGUCCCAGGGUGAUCUAUGAUAGCUGUAGAGGUGUCAGAGUGAUCUAUGGUAGCUGUAGAGGUGUCAGGAUGAUAGCUGUAGAAGUGUCAGGAUGAUGUAUGAUAGCUGUAGAGGUGUCAGGAUAAUGUAUGAUAGCUGUAGAGGUGUCAGGAUGAUGUAUGAUAGCUGUAAAAGUGUCAGGAUGAUGUAUGAUAGCUGUAGAGGUGUCAAGGUGAUCUAUGAUAGCUGUAUAGGUCCCAGGGUGAUCUAUGAUAGCUGUAGAGGUGUCAGAGUGAUCUAUGGUAGCUGUAGAGGUGUCAGGGUGAUCUAUGAUAGCUGUAGAGGUGUCAGUGUGAUGUAUGAUAGCUGUAGAGGUUCCAGGGUGAUGUAUGAUAGCUGUAGAGGUGAUGUAUGAUAGCUGUAGAUGGCUGUAGAGGUGUCAGGAUGAUAGCUGUAGGGGUGUCAGGAUGAUUUAUGAUAGCUGUAGAGGUGUCAGGAUGAUAGCUGUAGAAGUGUCAGGAUGAUGUAUGAUAGCUGUAGGGGUGUCAGGAUGAUAGCUGUAGAAGUGUCAGGAUGAUGUAUGGUAGCUAUAGAGGAGCCCGAAUGAUGUAUGGUAGCUGUAGAGGUGUCAGGUCAUCUAUGGUAGCUGUAGAGGUGUCAGGGUGAUGUAUGACAGCUCUAAUCACUGCAUCUGACAACCUUCAACUAGAGGAGGAUACUCUGCCACCAGUCGACCCAGCACACCAGUCCAUUCAGCAGUCCGCCCAGGUCAGCAAUGCCCAUUUGUCCCUCCCGGAUAAAUAUGACGGGGUAGAGGAUUGGUACCAGCACGCAACCCCAUCUAAGUGGCUUCCUACUCAAGUGCUCCCUCUAUUUUGCACAACAGAUGGGAGGCCUCACCACCGAGAGGUCCCAGGUUGCCAUGGUUAUUUCUCUGCUGACUAGGAGGGGGUUGGAGAGGGCUUCAGCCGUCUGGGAGAGAGGAGAGGAGGAGCUGGCUUCGUAUGAGGGGUUCAUGGCUCUGUUCAGAUGUAUCUUCGAUCAUCCGCCGUAGGGCAGAGAGGGGAGUGAGCUUCUAUUCCAACUACGGCAAGAUGAACAACCCGCUGCCGAGUAGGCGCUCACCUUCCAGACAGUAGCAAUAUCCAGUGGAUUGAAUGAGCCGGCACCCCGUACGUUAUUCAGAUGAGGACUGCGCAGGGAGGUCCAGACGCAACUGGCAUGUCGAGACGACAACCUCUCCUUGGAGCCUGAACGAUGCAGACGGAAACAGCUGGGGCUCUGUCCCUAUUGUGGUCAAGGGGGGCACCAGCUUCAGCAGUGUCCGGUACAUCCCAACUCGGUAUCCCUGGUCACAUCUGUCCAUUGAUUUUGUCACUGAUCUCUGAUGCUUUCACCACCAUUUUGGAUUCUCUAAAUCCUGCCGUUUUAUCCCCCUCUGGUCUCCAGGUUGCUAAGGCAGUGUUUCAGCAGGUCUUCUGGCAUUAUGGCCUUCCGGAGGACAUCGUCUCCGACCGUUGCCCCCAAUUCGCAUCACGGACAUGAAGAGCCUUCAUGGAGAAGUUUGAGGUCACGGUCAGCCUCAGUCUAAAGGGCAGGUGGAGAGGAUGAACCAGGAGCUGGGGAAGUUCCUGAGGAGCCACUGCCAGGACCGGCAGGGGGAGUGGGCCCAAUUCCUUCCAGAGGCGGAGUACGCCCAGAAUGUGUUACGUCACUCCUCCACUAGGCUGACUCCAUUCCAUUGUGUUCUGGGUUGUCAGCCGGUCCUGGCUCUGUUGACCCCGGGCCAGACCGAAGCUCCUGCGGUGGUUUAGGCACACAGAAAAAGUGUGGAGCGAUACUCACGUCAGACUAAAGCGCACCGUCCAAUGUCAGGAGUAGAAGGAUUGCCACUGCAGUUAAGCUCCUGUGUUCCAUCAUGUUCUACCAGGAACCUCCCACUCCCUGCAAGAAGCUGAACCCCGGUUUGUGGGGCCGUUCAAGGUUCUCCGAAGGGUCAACGAGGUGACGUAUAUAUUACAGCUACCCAGUGACUACCGUAUCUUACCUUCCUUUCAUGUCUCCCUUCUCAGGCCGGUGGUUCCUGGUCCCCUGGCUAAAGCUGUCCCCUCGUGGGGGGGGGAUUCUGUCACGUCUACUCCCACUCUCCUUCUUCGGCGCUCGACGUUGCCGAUUUACAAAUCACUGCCUCUGACAACCAUCAUUACGUACACCAUCGUUACCCGCACUAGCACCUCAUUAUGAGACUCACCUGGACUCCAUCCCUUCCCUGAUUGUCGCUCCCUUUGGUUCAUUCCCCAGGCAGUAUUGGUUAUGUGUUUAUGUCCAGACGCUACUCUUGUUUUGUAUCGUUCCAUGUUCAUCGUGUUAUUAAACUCACCACCUGCACCUGCUUCUCGACUCCCAGUGUCUGCGUUAGUCUUGUCCAGAGUAAAGCUGUUCUCUUCCCUGGGGGCUGUCAGGAUAUAUUAGGAGUUAUUUUCAUG